UGAAUGCGAUACUCCAGAUGAGGCACUUCACUACUAUGUAGUAGUGAACAAUCACCUUCCUGACCCUGCUGGCCAUCCCUCUUUUGAUGCAGUCCAGGAUACAAUUAAACCUUCUGGGCUGACUCAAGCCCAGCCUUUCCUCCAUCAGGACUCCCAAGUCCUUCUCAGCAGGGCUGCUUUCAAUGAGUCCUUCUCCCAGUAUGUACACGUACCUGAGACUGCUCCAACAAUAUGCAACACCUUGCACUCGCCUUUGUUGAACCUCAUGAGGUUCAUGUGGGCUCACUUUUCAAGCUUGUCUAAGUCCCUUUGAAUGGUAUCCCUUCCUUCUAUUUUAUCACUCGCAUCACUCAGCUUGGUGUGAUCAGCAAACUCUCUGAGGGUAUGCUCAAUCCCAUUGUGUUAUUGAUAAAGAUGUUGAAGAGCACUGGUCCCAAGAUGGACCCCUGUGAGAUACCACUUGUGAUCAGCCUCCACCAGGACACAGAGCUGCUGACCGCAAUCCUCUGGUUGCAGCUGUCCAACUGAUUUUUUAUUCACUGUAUAGUCCAACCUUCAAAUCCCCUCCAAUUUAGAGAUAAGGAUGUAAUAAUAACGAUGUCAGGUUGUUUUCAAAAUAUCUUACAGACCAUUCUGUGAUGAAUUUUGAUUCUUUUUGAUUCUUUUUUUGGGCAAAUUUGUCAAUGAUGAGUACCUGAUAGGCUCCAGUCUCACAGAACAUUCAUUAUUUAUAAGUUAGUGUAAGAUGUACACAGUUACAUAGCUCUCUUCUUCAGGGAGGAGACAAGCCUUUUCUCUGUGUGUCUAUACCUAUGCAGAACUUUCCACUGUCUUUGGCUGCAUCUCAUAGCACCAACUGUACAAUAAGAAUAAUAUGACACUGUGAGGAGAAUAAGAAACAUAAAGUAGUGGUGUUUUUUGUUUGAAUUACAUAUGCUUUUUAAUAGAUAUAGGCUGAAACUACACUGGCACUUAAAACAUCCCAAGACUUGUUCUUCCUGAUUUCAGAGAUCUUGCUACUGUUAUUAUAAAAGUUAGAACUGGCUUUACUUCCCGUGCCUUUUCAAUUCUUGCGACCCAAAAAGCUUUGACAUUUCAAGUGACAAAUCUAGGCUCCUCCAGUUUCCAGAAGAUGAAGCAUAGCUUCAGAUAACAUGUGAAUCAGCUACUGCUGCCAAAUGGAAAUGGUGUCUUUUCGGGCUAAAACUUCAAAGAAAGGAUCCUGUAUUAGCAGCACUGAGUUUGCUGUACUUGCUGUUGUCUUGAACUUAAAAGCAGGUAAUAACCUUUGAAUCUGAAUAUGUAGAAGAUACCUUUACUAACAGAACUCCCAGCUCCCACAGGAAAAGAUGGCUUGGCAGCUGAACUACUACAGCUCUGUAAUGACCACCACGUUCAUUAGACAAUGAAAAGCUGUGCAGGGGUAAAAAAAAGGCAAUGCACAUAGGUGACAAGGUGGGUGAAUAUUAUUUCUCCCUAUCCUUUCAGAUCCUCAGAGGAAUCACUGGAAAUAUAAAUUAAGCUACAAGCCACAGGAAUUACUGGAUAUAUAAAUUAAGCUAUAAGCCAUUUGCUGACUCUCAUCAACCUUGUUAAGUGGUAGGGAAUCAGGAGUUCAGUGCAUCUAUGCAUUUAGAGAAAUAAAGCCACUGAUUAGUUUAUUGGACAAAGCCUCUUGGUAUAUGAAGCAGCAAAAUUCCCUUGUUCUAAUGAAACAGCCUAGGCUAUUUCUCAUUUCUCUCAACAGGGCACUCUUUUACAACCCUUACUAUGAUUGAGAUACAAAGUAAAGGACAGGGUGGGGAAACACAAAUUGUGGUCUAUGGGAGAGAUGUUUAAAGAGGAGAGAAAUUUAAAUACAAGUGUAAAUCCAAAAGCGACAAUAUAGAUAAAAAUAUAGGUCACAUCUACUCACCACAAUCACUCUUGUUUUUAUUGUGGUAGCACCAAGGGACUUCAGCAGUGGUACAGAUUCCCUGUGUUCACUAAGGCUUGAAGACAGAUUACAAAUGCCCUAAAGAGCUUCCAACUUUUAGAAUUCCCACUUUCUUCACCACAAAGCAGCAAAGAUGGCUCAGCAACAACUGCCUGAUAUCAGUAUCAUUACAAAAAAUCUUGUUUUCAACUCUUCCAGAACUUUUGUCUCAGGAUUGGAAGUUUUUUUACUCAUGCUUGGAGAUCUGCUGAGAAAUCCAGAGAGGAUUAUGAUUCAGAGAGCAGUUGAUUGAUUCACCUCUUCCUGUUCUCACUCAGAGGCCACAGUACGUAAGCAGAAGGUCACAGGCCAUAUGGGAUGGAAGCCAUGCUCCAAAAUAAGUACUUUCCUCAGAAUGCAAGCAGAGAGGAACAUGAAGAUAUGUGCCUCUUCUUGUGUUCAAUUCAACACGGAAUUUGACUUGAGUGUAGCAGAAACGUUUUUGGACACUGAGUAAUAUCACAAUUCCACAGUAAGCAAGUAAAAGGAAGUAGUGUCAUUAUAUUUAAUGACUCCUACAUUUAAAAAUAUCUGUGAAAAUUCUUGACACAGUUAGUAAGGAAACACAAAACAUACAGCAAUUGUUUGGAAUUAAAAUUCAUAUACAAAUAUUCAAGAAAGCCUGGGCUGAAUUUAUAUCCAACUCAAAAUAUAAUUUCCCUAUGCUUUACAGGCACUUGGAUCUAGUAUGUAUAUGACUACCCAAAGCAGGCAGAAUUGUUUAAUUUAGCUUUCUAUAUACAACCUGUAGGUUAGGAACAGCAGACAGUACUCUGCAAUUUUACUGAUUGUUGUCUGUUUACCAUAAUUACAGAGAUAUUUUAAACUUCCGCAUUUUGUUGUAGGCAUAGUAUUAGGUAGGGAAUAGCAGCACAACAUUUUGAGUAGUCUGUUAUUGUGGAUACAUCCUGAGGACCAGCUGAUGCUAUUUUUAGUCACUAUGUGGUUAACUGUGACUAGACUGAGAAUGUUAUUUUUUUGUUUAGUGUUUGAAGUUGCAAACAUUGAAUUUUGCAUUCUGAAAUUGCUGAAUUAAAAAAAAAAUAAUCUGAGUUUAAUUAAAAGUUAUAUGUAUGCACACAGAGA